GAUGAACGCUAGCUACAGGCUUAACACAUGCAAGUCGAGGGACCGGCGCACGGGUGAGUAACACGUAUCCAACCUGCCCUUUACUCGGGGAUAGCCUUUCGAAAGAAAGAUUAAUACCCGAUAUAAAGGAUGGGGAUGCGUUACAUUAGGUUGUUGGUGAGGUAACGGCUCACCAAGCCUUCGAUGGAUAGUGGUUCUGAGAGGAAGGCCCCCCAGAUUGGAACUGAGACACGGUCCAAACUGCUACGGGAGGCAGGAGUGAGGAAUAUUGGGGAAUGGGCGCUAGCGUGAACCAGCCAAGUAGCGUGAAGAAUGAAGGCUUAUGGGUCGUAAACUUCUUUUAUAGAAGAAGAUGUAUUAGAUGAAUAAGGAUCGGCUAACUCCGUGCCAGCCGCCGCGGUAAUUC
rnacentral:rRNA from 1 species